rnacentral:rRNA from 1 species
AACGAACGCUGGCGGCAGGCCUAACACAUGCAAGUCGAGCGGACCCUUCGGGGUUAGCGGCGGACGGGUGAGUAACGCGUGGGAACGUGCCCUUUGCUUCGGAAUAGCCCUGGGAAACUGGGAGUAAUACCGGAUACGCCCUUUUGGGGAAAGAUUUAUCGGCGAAGGAUCGGCCCGCGUUGGAUUAGGUAGUUGGUGGGGUAAUGGCCUACCAAGCAGACGAUGCAUAGCUGGGUUGAGAGGAUGAUCAGCCACACUGGGACUGAGACCCGGACCAGACUGGUACGGAAGGCAGGAGUAGAGAAUCCUAGGCAAGGGAGGAAGCCGUAAUCUAGCCGUGCCGCGUGAGAGAUGCAGGCCUUAGGAUUGUAAAGCUCUUUGACCGGGGAAGAUAAUGACGGUACCCGGAGAAGAAGCCCCGGCUAACUCCGUG